CUCAAACCCACGGACUGUGAGACCAUGCCCUGAGCCAAAGUCUGAUGCUCAACCAUCUGAGCCAUCCAGGUGCCCGGAGUCUCCAUCUUAAAAGCAAGAGCAACCCUGUGUCCCUGUUGUAACCAGACUUGUUGUAAUUAAUAUUCUUGAUUAGGUUCUUCUAAAAAAUGGAUAGAAGUGGAUGAGGUGAAAAGUAAGAACCUAUUUUCCUGUCAGUCUUUCACCUUCACUCCUUGAGCUCUUGGUUGAUCUGCUGUUCACAAUCUUUUGUCCCUCUCGAUGUGUCCUGUGUAUACAUGGGACUUGUCUUUCAACAGGUUAAAUGUUGAGAUUGUUUAUAAGAUCACAGUGACUGAGAAGUCUGAGCUGUGUUCUCUCUCAUGGGGCUGGGAGCCUGUUCGUGAAGCUGUAAGAGAAAGCAUGAUCUUCCUUAUUGAAAUAUUUUAUUGAGGACUUUCCCUAGAAGAGUUUCUUUACUUGAAAAGCUAACUUGGAGUGCUUACUAUAUGCCAGGCAUGGUUCUGAGCAGUUGACAUGUAUUAAAUCAUUUCUUUCCCCAAUACUUAACCCACUUGGACAUGAGAAAUCUGCUAGGUUGGGUGGCUCCUGCCUCACUGAGCAUCUCCCCCUUCGGUGAGCGCCAUGUCCAUACUGAUGUGAAUGGCCGAGGCCUGGAAUCUGGAACUCUCUGUGGCUGUUACAACCAUCAUCAGCAGCACUACACUCAUCAUACCUGGCCUUUAAUUUUGGCCCUAUCAUGGCCUUCCUGGAUUUCCUGAAUUAUGAGGCAAAUUGGCAUCCUGUCCUAUAUGGCUCUUGCCCUUGGCUGCAUGUUGGAGACAUCUGGAGAAUAAAUGUUCUGUGUGAUCUGUAGUUUGGGUUUAAGAAGUAGGUGGGGUGUGGGCAAGGGGAGUUUGAAAACAACCCCGCCAGGUGGUUUGGAUGAGCGCAUUAGGCUUGGGAACUCGCAGGUGUAGAUCAGUGAUUUGAAGGCUGAGAUUGAAGUGGUCCUGGGCUGUUCUUGGCGGUCAGCGUCUUGUUUGCAUCCCUUUCAAAGUUCAAACCUGGAGAUGCUUCCCUAGAAGGUUAGGUUUGUGUUCUCACAUCUGCUUUUUCACGCAUGUGGGAUCAUGCUGCUAUAAUCUACAUUUUUGCCACAUGCAUUUAUUAUUAUUUUUAAAUGUUUGUGUUUGAGAGGGGGAAGGAGCAGAGAAAGGGGGACAGAGGAUUUGAAGCCAACUCCACGUUGACAGCUUCAGCACAGUGAUCCCGAUGUGGGGCUCGAACUCACAAACUGUGCGAUCAUGACCUGAGCUGUAGUUGAAUGUUCAACCGACUGAGCCACCCAUGUACCCCUGCCACAUAUGUUUAAAAGCAGAGUUAUUUCAUCAUACAGAGUUUAAAUAAAAAUGUAUAUCCCUGCACCUGUUGUGCAGUGAAACACUGCUGACACAUUUGCAUCCAUAUUUGUCCCCUGCCCCAAAUAUGUGCCCCUCCUUUUGGAGGUGAUUGCUGCAGAUUCUGAUUUUUUUCUUUCUUUCUUUUUUAAUGUUAUAUUUAUUUUCAAGAGAGUGCAGGUGAGGGUGAGGGACAGUGAGAACGGGGACAGAGGAUCUGAAGCAGGCUCUGUGCUGA